UACGAAGGGGGCUAGCGUUGCUCGGAUUUACUGGGCGUAAAGGGCGCGUAGGCGGACAGUUAAGUCGGGGGGUGAAAGCCCGGGGCCUCAACCUCGGAAUUGCCUUCGAUACUGGCUGGUCUUGAGUACGGGAGAGGUGUGUGGAACUCCGAGUGUAGAGGUGAAAUUCGUAGAUAUUCGGAAGAACACCAGUGGCGAAGGCGACACACUGGCCCGUUACUGACGCUGAGGCGCGAAAGGCGUGGGGAGCAAACAGG
rnacentral:rRNA from 1 species